rnacentral:misc_RNA from 1 species
UGGUUCUGGCAUCGAUGAAGAACGCAGCGAAAUGCGAUAAGUAAUGUGAAUUGCAGAAUUCAGUGAAUCAUCGAAUCUUUGAACGCACAUUGCGCCCAUUGGUAUUCUAGUGGGCAUGCCUGUUCGAGCGUCAUUUCAACCCUUAAGCCUAGCUUAGUGUUGGGAGACUGCCUAAUACGCAGCUCCUCAAACCCAGUGGCAGAGUUUUUACGUACUCUGAGCGCAGUAAUUCUUUUUCUCGCUUCUGAAAACGUCUAGACGAUAGCCAAAAACCGCAUGCAGCUUGCUGCAGCAACUUUUUUAAUGGUUGACCUCGGAUCAGGUAGGAAUACCCGCUGA